CACUGGUGUUCGGGUUGUCAUGCCAAUGGCACUGCCCGGUAGCUAAAUGCGGAAGAGAUAAGUGCUGAAAGCAUCUAAGCACGAAACUUGCCCCGAGAUGAGUUCUCCCUGACUCCUUGAGAGUCCUGAAGGAACGUUGAAGACGACGACGUUGAUAGGCCGGGUGUGUAAGCGCAGCGAUGCGUUGAGCUAACCGGUACUAAUGAACCGUGAGGCUUAACCUUACAACGCCGAAGGUGUUU
rnacentral:rRNA from 1 species